AUUGAACGCUGGCGGCAUGCCUUACACAUGCAAGUCGAACGGCAGCACGGGAGCAAUCCUGGUGGCGAGUGGCGAACGGGUGAGUAAUAUAUCGGAACGUGCCCGGUCGUGGGGAUAACGUAGCGAAAGCUACGCUAAUACCGCAUACGAUCUACGGAUGAAAGCGGGGGGAUCGCAAGACCUCGCGCGAUUGGAGCGGCCGAUAUCAGAUUAGGUAGUUGGUGAGGUAAAGGCUCACCAAGCCGACGAUCUGUAGCUGGUCUGAGAGGACGACCAGCCACACUGGGACUGAGACACGGCCCAGACUCCUACGGGAGGCAGCAGUGGGGAAUUUUGGACAAUGGGCGGCAAGCCUGAUCCAGCAAUGCGCGUGCAGGAUGAA
rnacentral:rRNA from 1 species